UCUGCCAUUAGGAAGAAUCGAAAGACAGACCUAUUUCUAUUUGUUCUUAAGCUUAGAAAUACAGCUUAGAAUUUCUUAAUUUUUUAAAACCCUUUAAGAAGGACAAUAUAAAUAGCAUUUGCUGAAAUUUACUGAAAAGAACCUUGAGCUAGGGUUUUUCUGAACCUCAAGUUCAAGAGUGGAAAUAGAAGACAGUAAUCACUCUGGGCAAAGGGACCUCUUGAGCAGUCAUCCAACCCAUCCCUUCGGAUUAUUCAAGCCUGACAGAAAGGGGAUCUUCCUGGUCCAUAUGGAUGGCUUAAUACGAGUGGUCAUGAAAUAUGAAGAUCUUUGUAUCACAUAAUGUCUCUCACAUGACAGCAGUUGCCAGAGAAGAGGCCUUAAAUAACAAAAUAGAAAAAAUGACUCAAUAGUUGACAUCACCCUUCCUGUCAUUGGAAGCCCCCAUUCUUGCACAAUACGUGCAGGAAUAGAAUAACCUCAUGGGAGGAAUGGAAAUUCUACACUGGAUCUAAAGCACAAGCUAGCUUUCCUUCACUGAAGCAUCUAGCUACCACCACUGCCAAAUGCCUGAAACAGCCAUCACUGAGUCCUCUAUAUGGUACUUCUUCAAGUAGAACAAUUUUGGAGAAGCUGAUGAUAAUAUUGGACCACUUCUACCUAUAUUCCAUAUGUAUUCUUAGUAUAGAUUUGCCUUUUUUUGCUUGAGGGCUUCAACUAGCACCAUUAGCGGAGGGUGUGCAGACUUUCACUACUAACACAGGAAUACUAACAAUACAACACUGCAUAAGACUAAGGAAUCCUCUACAGCAAAGGAAGUGUGGUGCUGGGCACAAGACCAUUGAAUCUAUUGGGUGUAUCUCAUGCUGCACCACUUAACUGGCCUGACAGAAUAAUGGAAGAGUAUAGUGAAGCGGCCAGCUAAGAAAUUAUACAUUCAAUCUACAGAGUACCUGAGUCCAGGACCCAAGAAGUAUAAAUGAGUGGUGCCACUACCGUAAUUCCCAUUGACUUGAGGAAUUUGUACUUCCCAUACUUGCCUGUUUAGAGAUGCUGAUUCCCAGAAGGAAAUGCUUUCAGUGGGGAACAUUAUAUUAAACUUUAAGCCAUGGCUGCUUUCUAGUCACUUUGUUAAGAGACCUACAGCAAGGAAAGAGAGGACUAUGCUAGCAGGGAUGAUUAGCCUUGAUUAUCAAGGAAGGGAGAUUUGCCAUUACACAAAGGAGGCAAGGAAGAGUGUGUUUGGUACUCAUGUGAUUUACCUCGGUGUUUCUUGAUACUUCCUCACCAAUACUGAUGGCAAAUGGAGAAGUGAAGCAGCUCAGACCGAGAAAGACAUGGUGACCUGGAGAUCAGACCUCUGAGAGAUGAGAGUCUGGGUUAUCCCCAGAAGUUUCUCUAGGUAAAUAUGCCCAUCAGGAUCAUGAAGGAGCUUCUCCGAGAAAGUGGAUCUGAGCUAUACCAAGAGUGGAGCUAAGCCAUCCUAUCUCUAUGGAUGCUGGGGAUCAGCCCUCCUCCAAUGACUAGUUGAUGGUCAAUACAAAGGACCAGCACCUUGACACAAUUUGGGAUAACUCUAAAGGCCAUCUCAGCUUCAAAGAAUUCCACAAAGUGGGUUGAGAUCUUCAUUAUAACUGCAUCAUAGUGCCACCUCUCUCUCCCCUCUCCAGUAGUACCUCCUUCACUACCAAAGGUAUUGUUUCCAAGAACACUCCUUAAUAAAUUUCCUACAAACAAAUCUCCAGUUCAAAGUCUUUCUUAAAGAUCCCAAUUUACACCACAGGAUGAGGUAUUACUUAUUAUUAUUAGGUGCUUAGUAUACUUUAAUUUUAUUCCUGCCCCCCAAAACCUGCAAAGUUUAUAUUAAACUUUAAGUUUAUAUUAAACCCAGGGGAUGUGGGUUCGAUCCCUGGUCCAGGAAGACUCCACAUACUGCAAGUCAGCUAAGCCAAUGAGCCUCAGCUACAAGUCCACGUGCCCUAGAACCCAUGCUCUGCCUCAAGAGAAGCCACUGCACUGCAAUGAGAAGCCUAUGCACCUCAACUAGAGAGUUGCACCUGCUCACAGCAACUAGAGAAAGCCCAAGUGCAGCAACAAAGACCCAGCGCAGCCAAAAAUAAAAUUAAUUAAAUAAUUAAUUUAAAAAUUAUAAAGUCAACCCAUUACAGUUGAGGGAAGCGAG